rnacentral:rRNA from 1 species
GACGAACGCUGGCGGCGUGCUUAACACAUGCAAGUCGAACGGAAAGGCCCUGCUUUUGUGGGGUGCUCGAGUGGCGAACGGGUGAGUAACACGUGAGUAACCUGCCCUUGACUUUGGGAUAACUUCAGGAAACUGGGGCUAAUACCGGAUAGGAGCUCCUGCUGCAUGGUGGGGGUUGGAAAGUUUCGGCGGUUGGGGAUGGACUCGCGGCUUAUCAGCUUGUUGGUGGGGUAGUGGCUUACCAAGGCUUUGACGGGUAGCCGGCCUGAGAGGGUGACCGGCAACAUUGGGACGGAGAUACGGCCCAGACUCCUCCGGGAGGCAGCAGUGGGGAAUAUUGCACAAUGGGCGGAAGCCUGAUGCAGCAACGCCGCGUGCGGGAUGACGGCCUUCGGGUUGUAAACCGCUUUCGCCUGUGACGAAGCGUGAGUGACGGUAAUGGGUAAAGAAGCACCGGCUAACUACGUG